AGGAUGAACGCUGGCGGCGUGCCUAAUACAUGCAAGUCGAGCGGUAAGGCCACUUCGGUGGUACACGAGCGGCGGACGGCUGAGUAACACGUAGGAACGUACCCCAAACUGAGGGAUAAGCACCAGAAAUGGUGUCUAAUACCGCAUGUGCUCUUCGGAGUAAAGCUACGGCGGUUUGGGAACGGCCUGCGCAUGAUUAGCUUGUUGGUGAGGUAAUGGCUCACCAAGGCGAUGAUCAUUAGCUGGUCUGAGAGGAUGAUCAGCCAGACUGGGACUGAGAACGGCCCAGACUCCUACGGGAGGCAGCAGUAGGGAAUCUUCCACAAUGGGCGAAAGCCUGAUGGAGCAACGCCGCGUGCAGGAUGAAGGCUUUCGGGUCGUAAACUGCUUUUAUCUGUGACGAAUAUGACGGUAGCAGAUGAAUAAGGAUCGGCUAACUCCGUGCCAGCAGCCGCGGU
rnacentral:rRNA from 1 species